rnacentral:rRNA from 1 species
UACAGAGGGUGCAAGCGUUGUUCGGAAUUACUGGGCGUAAAGCGUGCGUAGUCGGUAUUGAGAGUCGCGGGUGAAAUCCCAGGGCUUAACCCUGGAACUGCCUGCGAGACCUCAGUACUAGAGUGUGAGAGGGGAUAGUGGAAUACCCAGUGUAGCGGUGAAAUGCGUAGAGAUUGGGUGGAACACCGGUGGCGAAGGCAGGUCUCUGGGCUAUAACUGACGCUCAUGCACGAAAGCGUGGGGAGCAAACAGG